UAUUCUUUUCUUCAGUCAGCUGUAAGUAAUUACUGCAUGGUGUGCUUCUGACUAUUACCAUAACAGAGCAAUUGGACGUGAAGAAUGGAUAAUAGUAUGGACAUGGAGGUAUUUUUAGAAUAUCAGCAGUGGAGCAGGUAACUGGCCUACUCCAGUAGAAACCUUUAAAUAAGUUUAGAAAGACUUUUUUCUUUUUUUCCUUAUGACAUUUAGCCAUGGUAGAAUUUUUUAAAGAUCAAUCUAAUAAAUUAUUUAAAAUAACUUUACAAAGAAGAUGCCUGUGAUAUGUAAAUAAGAAGGCAAGAAGGGAAGAAGGAAAAGCCCAGAAAGCCCAGGCGGACACGAGGCAUGUUGCCGACGUUACUGUAACUACAUAAUCACAGGUUCCCUCCUGCUCCUGGGAGACACAGCCUUCCUCUGCCUGGAUGCUGAAUCUGCUUGACUGGCUCCCACUGGCUGCUCAGGGGCAUUGACUGAGCGACGGCUCCCUUUUCGCGGGACUGUCCAUUAUGUGAGGCGGCGGGCUAUGUCAUGGACGGCGGCAGGCUGGGAUAUUGUCUAACGGCACAACAUAUGUUCUCAGAUGAAAACAGCUUGAGACUUUGACUCAGAAAGCGGUAAUUUUGCAAAUGUGCACAAAUAUCAUUUAAGGAAUAUUUUGAUUUUUUUUUUUUUUUCCCAGGGUAUAGGUCCUUCUCCUGCCUCCUGGCUGCACGGGCCAAUGCUGAUUUUUCAAUUUGCAGGUUUGUUAAGCAUCAUGGAAUGUUUUGGUUCUCAAUCAAGAAUAUUCUUCCCAAGUGGUUCCAAAGUCCUAUGCUUGAAAAUAAACGCAUGUCCUCUUUGUCUCCUAGCAGCAUGUGUUCCAACGUACAAUAGCGGCAAAGGGUGGAGGAAGGCAGUGCCUUUGAUUGAACCAUCCUAUAGGUUUUUAACCUUCCACUCUUGUGGGCUGCAAGCUUUCUUAAAGGCAGGGAAGCAUGCUCUUUUCUAUGGGCGGUGCUGGCAGCUGGAGUCCAACAGGGGUGGUUAGGAGCCAGGACCCAAGUCCUCCUCCUGGCAGGAUUCCUGUCCUACAUUGUAGCACAGGAGAUGAACAGAGGAUGAGCCUCCCCUGCGUGCUGAUGACCCUAUAGUCUCACCUGAAAAGAAGAGGUAGAGCCUGUGGGACAGGUGGAAAUGCUUAACUGAUCUCUGCCCACCGCUUUGAAGUCUUCUGACAAACAAAUGUGUGUGAAAUAAACACUGUCACAUUUAUUUUUCCUGAAAAACCACAUCAUUGUGUCUGAGCUCUGCCAGCCAGCAUAUUCUGAUUCGUCUAGACACAACCUCUUUCUGGCUAAAAGGUACUACACUGUAAAUUUACAGCUGUGUGUUUCAACUGCUUAGCUGGUGAGUCUUAACAGAAGGCCAGGGCAUACCUGUAGAGGUGUUCCUGUGACCUACAGAGAGAAGCUCCUCCAUGUCCCUGGUUUUGAUUUGCUUUUGUCAUGUGUUUGAAAAUGGAACAAUUGUCUUUUCCUUAAAUCUGUAGAAAGAUGAGAACAAAAGGAAAUCGAACAAAUUUCAAUGCCCGUUUUAAACAAAAAUUUUCACAUAGGACAAAGAUCUAAGGUCAUUUCAAGAAAGUGCUUCAGACCUCAUGAUUUAAAGCAUUUUGUGUUUCUAUUUUGGUGAAAUUUUGAGACACUGGUCACUUUGCAUGUGACCCCAGUGGUGGUGGUCCUGAGAGGGCCCCACUGAAAUUUAUUCUGCACCUCUAUUCAUCAUCAACUUAUCGAGGGUGUGGGCCAGACCUCUGGGUUUUAUAUCCAGUGUUUCUUCCCUGUCAAAAGCACCAGCAUAAGAACUUCCCUAAGAAAAGACACUACCACGAGUCAGAGAUACUACUAUUUUAGGUCUAGAAAACCCUCUGGGGAGCAAAGAAUAUGGAUCCUCCCAAGAGUGAGACUAAGAGGGGAGGGAAGGCUAGAACCCCAUUAUAUUUUCAUUUAGCUCUGAGAAGCCCAUAGGGAAAGAAAUACCUGGAGCUGUUAAGAAGCCAAGUUAUUCCAGAAGCCUCCAUUUUAUUUAUUCUUUGGUAUUUUGGCUAAUAGUUCUUUGGUCAGGAAUUCUUAGUAUUUUAGGCAUUUCCGUGGACCAUAACCUUGUCAGUACCUACUUCACAGACUUCUGUCAUCCUCCCAUAUUCUUAUCUCAGUUCUCCAUCAUUCUAUCUUAUCUGUCCUCUGGGUCUUUACACUGUCUGUUCCCUUUGCCUGGAAUGCACUCAGUCUCAGUCAAAAUGUCAUCUCAAGGAAACUAUUCUAGCGCCUUUCCAGGCAUUCUCUAAACUUGAUUUUCUUCCCAUAAUUAAUACUAGCUGAUAUUUUCUUAUUUGCAUAUGUACUAAAUUGAAUGACUCUUAAUUCUUGACUCCCUCCCAGCAAAAUACAUACUGCUGUGGUUUGGAUCUGGUAUGAGUAUGUGCCCCAAUUGUUCAUGUGCUGGAAGCUUAAUUGCUAGUAUAGCAGUAUUGAGACUGGGAGGAGCUUUAGGAUGUGGGGCCUCCUGGAAGGCAGUAAGGCCAUUGGGGUCACUACCCUUGAAAGAUAUUAAUAUAGUUCUUACAAGACCCCAUUUUUCUUCCCACCAUACAUGAAAAAUACUUUGAUCCAUUCAUAUUGGUUUUAACAUGUGAUUGUCUUGGCUAAUGAAAUGUUAGUCAAAUGUUAGAAAUUUAGACUUUCUGGCACAAUCUGGUUUGUUCUCUUGCAUGCUUAUAGUUUCUUGUAAGAAGAAAAUGCUCAAGAUUUCUGCUGGUUCUGAGAGACAGAAGAUACAAGGAAGAGGAUAUGAUCCCAACUAAUAGUUUAGAGCCCAGAUUAGCUGAAUCAGUCACCUUCCAGCAGCCCCACAGAAGCGUUCAUGAAAUAAAUGAAUGCUGAGCAUG